UUAAUUAUUACACAGUUCUAUGACAAAAAGAGCCCUUAUUUUCCAUACAAAGAACAGACAACUCACAGUCCUUAGGAUAGCAAUGCUCCCCAUUUCUGCAAUACUAUUGAUAAGAACACCAGCAUGCUUAAUAUUAUGGGUAAUAUUAAGCCUCCUAGAUUUGCAGCUUCUCUUAAAUGCAUUUAUAAGUAUGAAUUCCAUUUUUUUUUUUUUUUUUUGCAGACAUCCCUCUCUAGUUGCACUGCAGUAGCAGGCAGUACCAGUGGUGGGAAACACAGCAGCCUUUCCCAUUUUGUGCUACCAGGAUUACACAAAGGAAGGGAAGUGAGGAAUACGUCAUCCCCCUCAAACUACACAGAAAAUUCAGGAAGAAAGAAAAACAUCUGAGUUGGAAUGUGGCCAUGUCUUAAAGGUUAACACCCUACUUCUGUGAAAAGUGCCAUAGUCAUAUGGGUAAAAAAAAAAAGGAUAAGUCUUCAUGUUUCAUUCAAAGGAACGUAUUCAGAGCAGCCAGGUCCUUUCUAGGCACACUAAAGUGCAACAAGUAGGAUACCUUUUUUGGUUAAAUCUUUACGAAAAUGUGUGUGUCAGAAUCCAGUGAGGAAAUCAAUGAAUAAUUCUUAGCCUAUGGCUUAAUUGUGAAUCAUUUGUUUGCAUACCUCACUAUCCAUUACUCAUGUCAUUUGGUUGAUUGCUUGGGACUUUGUUUUCACUGCAGAAAGGGUCUAGUUUUGACUUGGGAUUUUCUUCCCCAGCUUUAUUAUAAAUUGAGUUUACAGAGAUAGGAACUGUCAUGCCCUGUCUCCAUUAGGAUUUAUACUGGGAUAGCCAGCUGGAGAAAGACAGCUACUUUAAUGGAAAAAAACACUGGGCUUGUGUUUGUUUUUUGUUUGCUUUGCAGCGAACGUGUCAUUUUUGUCCAAGACAUUGUUUCAGCUCCCUAAUUGAAUGACGGAAAUUUUUAAAGGAGAACAAUGAAAUGCCAUUCUUCUGAAAAAAGAUCUGGUUGUCAUCCAACUAUUUGCAAAUAAUUCUGAUUGCAGAAGGCAGAGUAAAGAAAACUCAUUUUAAAGUACUUGUGCGUACAUUCAGUAUUUGGGGUUUUUUUUGAUAGAUUCUGCCUGUUGCCACUCUUGGGCACUGCUCAGCACAGAGAGGGAAAGGCCGCUUCCCUCCCAGCGCCACCAGUUUAUGACUAAUUCAAUCCCACCCAGUAAAUAGAGCCUUGUGCUGUAGCAGUUCAGCUUUCCUCUAUCUUAUGCUCUAUGAAGCUUUAACUAACUCCAAUUAGAUAUCUAGGGGCAAGCAGGAGGCCCGGCUGACAAUAUAAGUGCAAAUUAAACGCUCACUUUUUAAAUGUCUUUCUUGUUUCUUAAGGUCUGCUUGCUAAGUAAGGUAGCAUUCAGCACUGAGGUAGAUGUCAGAAUCUCAGCCUUAGUCAUUUCUUCUUAAUGCAAUAACCUCUUGAAUGAAAUAGUUUAUUUCCUGGAAAAGGGCUUAACAGAGAAAUUAGACUGUGCUCUGGCAUGGCACUUAAAUUGGCUUCCAGAAAGCUCGUGAUUAUCUUCUGAAGCCAGCUGAGCCAAGAGUCUGUUCUUUAUCACUGCUUCUUGGUCUGUUCUCUCCUUCUCAUACCAGUUCUGCACAGCAUUUCAAGCUGAUGAUUGGGUCUGGCUGGGAAACUGCUCUAAUUCAGUUCAGGACAUCACUUCUGUUCUUUUUGUAGCUUCAUUUCAUCGCCAAAGACAUCUUGUGCAGCUGCAGGAGCCCUGCUUCUCAUCUUCUGAAAAAAACGUCUCAAGUUCUUAACCAGCUACUAGUAAUAUCACUGAUUGUUUUUCUAUCCGUCUUUCUCCUUCUAUUGGUCCAUUUAGUUUCUUUUCCAAAAUGAAAGAACUGAACUUCACAAUUUUUCUCUAGUAUAACUCACACUGAACCCCAUGGAAAAAUUCAUAUCGACUUCAGUGCUCUGGUUUAUGGUCCAGGAAGGCAUUUUCAGGUUGUGAUACUCCUUGCAGCUUAAGAAAUAAGCUCUUAGCUGUGGGAAUGUAAUUCACAGUGCUGAGUUUGGUACUUACGUUCCCUCUACAGUAAAUAGCAGAAGUUUAAAGUAGGCACUUAACUUAAAAAAAUUUAAUUAACUUUCUCAGCUGCUACAAAGGGAGUCGUGUCUCACUGCUAGCAGUUAGCUACCAUUCUCAUUCUUCCAGGACACUGUAGCAUCUUAGCACAGAAGCCAAUACUCAGCCAGUGUAUUAAGGAAAUUAUCUUCUCUCCCUGAGAGGUUGCCUUUCCAGGUAAAGACUGGCAUGUGGGGGAUAGAGGGGACAUUAGAACUUCCAUUGCUGCUGUCUGUGCAGUUCUUGUUUUUAAUAACAUCCAGAAAGACACAUUAUUCUGUAAGCAUGAGUUUAUCAGAAGGGCAACCUGACUCUAGAAAAGAAAACAACUGUCACUAUCGAUGUAAUAGAUGAAUCACAAAGGACUAAGUGGUGGUUUUCUCCUAUCCUUGAGACGCAGCCUCCAAAGGUAAGGAGGUGGGUCAUCUCCCCGCCCUUCUGUUUUCAGUCUGUUAGUUUGGAAAGUGCACAGAAAAUGUCGGGCAGCAUGAGAUUUGUGACAGAUGUUCCCAUCUAUGGAAACAGGACUGCAAGCGUGAAACAUUUCUUUGGUGUGCUUUGGUCCUCCUUGAACUCAUCGCAGCUUGCAGCUUAGAAGGGAGCCACAAUGAGGUGAAAACUUAAAUCCCUUCUUGCUAAUCCCUUGGGCUGAUCAGUCCCUUUCCUCUCUUGGGCAUGGGUGAAAAAAUGUGACUUUCCAGAAUGCUCAAAACAUCUCCAUCUAAGUAUUUUUGCAUGUACGGUCAAAAUAUGCAAAAGCCUUAAAGCAACAGCAGAAAAUUCCAGAGGAAUGUGAGUUAUUUUAAAUGACAGAAUGUUACAGAGAUUCCUUCUUGAAAUGUGUGCAGCCCGCCAGAGAAAACGACACUUUCCAUGGUGUGAUCCAUGCUCUGGAGAACCCUACAACGGGAGCAAAAAUCUGUUUAACUCCAGAGUGAUCCAAAGUAGGAAGAAGUUCACAGGAACAACUUUUUGUCUACAAAAGAAAUAGACCUUUUAUCUAUUGCCUAACAACAGGACAGCGAGUUAAGGGAAUAAAGCAGCAGUAGCCACUGCCGGCAUGGUGCCAUCAAGUUCUGCCAGAGGAGGUUCAGAUUGUAUAUUAGGAAAAACUUUUCUCCAAAAGAGUGGUCAGGCACUGGACAGGCUGCCCAGGGAGGUGGUGGAGUCACUGUCCCUGGAGAUGUUCAAGCACUGCGGAGAUGUGGUACUUGAGGACAUGGGGUAGUAAGCAAUAUUGGUGGCAGGUUGACAGUUCAACCAGAGGAUGUUAGAGGUCUUUUCCAGCCUCAGUGAUUCUACAUUUCUAUAAGAAGUGUGCUUCAAACCCAAUCUGAACUGCUGACAGUUCCCAACAACUUCCCAAGAAGUUUUUGUGCAGUUGGUCAGCACCAAAUCCCCAAACUAAAACCUAUGGAGAAGACACUGGCACUGUGCAAGGAGCUUGCACUCCUCUCCCUUGCUUGCCAGCCACCAAAUUACUUUAAAUGAGAACCUAAAAAUACAUCAAAUGCUUCCCGAUAAAUAUUUUUCCAGGUAUGCCAUUGCUGUACUUGUCACAGGGCUGCAGUGAGAAUGAAAUGCUCUACCAGCCUGCGUCCAUUAAAUGCCCAGCACAUCACGGCUAUGUCUGAGAGCCUGGGGUUUGAAUGUCAGCAGCUGCAAAGCAGAGGAAACCCAGAGAACUUCAUAGCUCCAACAGCGAUGUGGAAAAGCUUCCUGGUUUGAAAAAGUAGCAAUAAUAAAGCCUGUGAAAACUGGUAACUCCACAUUCAUGCCUGGUGUUAUGUGAUCCUUCCUCCCUUUGAGUUACACUGGAUACCUUGUUCCACCUUCGGAAAACAUCCGGCGCAGGGGAAGGAGAAUGUUUGUUCUGUUCUUCUGAAGAAGUCUGAAGCAGAGCCCAGGCCGGGCCCCUGAUGAAAGGCUUCGUGAUGCCGCGCUCCCUUGAGGAGAUUUUGAAGGAAUCCAAUUUGCUGCGAGAUACAAACGAAACUGUUUGCUCAAACAGGUUUUUUCCCCUCCGUGUGUAAUGCAAUCUUCCAAGUCAGUGGAUUCCUGUCGUACAGCUCUGCUAAGGCACACACUGCCUCGUUGUGCACAUCCAGUUAUAACAUUACAGAAAAUACCGAGGGCUCUGACAGUGCCGCAGGGUUAUUUGCAGUUCUGAAUGGCCAGAAUUGUCCCAUGUGCUGGCCGAAGUUCUGGUCCCAAAGCAAGAUGUUUCUCAGCAGACAAUCUAGGUCACCUGGAUAUUUUUAAGGCUUAUGUCAUUCUUUGCGAUGAACGCAGAAGACAUAGAAAAGGUGUUUGUCCCUUUGUCUGUUCUACAUUUAUCCUGGAAAAGAGAUCGGAGAACUUGCAAAAUUCUUCUGUGGAAACAAGGAUUACUUCUGUUCAGGAAUAAGACAAGUGAAGGACAUUUUGCAGGAGCCAAAUUCCAGACAACUGGUCCACUCUGCAGCAACAGCAAAGGGCUUUCAAUAUAGCUUCCAGCUACCUCUGGCGCAGGAGAUUGUGAAGGUUGUGAGGUGAUGUGGGCUUGAAACCCAGCAAGUCCUAGGAUAUAUUCUUACUUCUGCUACAGGCUUGCUUUGCAACUGCUUGUUAUUUCUGGAGAGGAGCGGAAGAGUUUGAUCUUACUUAAAAUAAAUUCCACAACAUAUCACCUUAGGCAAGCUUCUGUAUAAAGAUAAUAAUGUUUACUCCUUAACUUUACAAGGGGACUGGGGCUGUUAUUACAGCUGUAGCACUUUGACCGUGUAAAUGCUGCGUUGUCAUAAUUUUCUCUGCUUCACUCUGCUGUGUCUACAGCAGGACUUUGAGAUUUAUUGCUCUCAGCCAUCCUUCUUUCCUGGGUGUUGAAGACAUCAAGAAAUGGCGGUUGGACUAGGUGAUCUUAGUGAUGUUUUCCAACCUUAAUGAUUCUGUGAUUCUGCACUUCUAUGAAAUCAUGCUCACCUGUUCCAAAAGUUUGUGGGGGAAUAUUAAACACAGUUCAGGCUUUGACUCCCCGUUGGAGCAUGUUACUACAACAGUGGAAGAAAAGGUAACCGGGUGAGAGGCCAUGGCUCAAGGACGCACGAUCCAUUGCCUUUCUCUGGGUACCAAUGGCACUCACAGAAUCGUGUUCUUGGAAAAGCUGUUCCUCUGAGGCUGCUGAUUUUCUCUAUUUCAGGAUCAAUAUUAUCAACAAACCGUUAUUUCCUCCUUCGGGGACAGAUUUCUACUGCAAAUAAAUAUGGCUCAUAUUCUGUCA